rnacentral:rRNA from 1 species
CGCUGGCGCGUGCCUAAUACAUGCAAGUCGAACGCACUCUCGUUUAGAUUGAAGGAGCUUGCUCCUGAUUGAUAAACAUUUGAGUGAGUGGCGGACGGGUGAGUAACACGUGGGUAACCUGCCCUAAAGUGGGGGAUAACAUUUGGAAACAGAUGCUAAUACCGCAUAAAACCUAACACCGCAUGGUGUAGGGUUGAAAGAUGGUUUCGGCUAUCACUUUAGGAUGGACCCGCGGUGCAUUAGUUAGUUGGUGAGGUAAAGGCUCACCAAGACCGUGAUGCAUAGCCGACCUGAGAGGGUAAUCGGCCACACUGGGACUGAGACACGGCCCAGACUCCUACGGGAGGCAGCAGUAGGGAAUCUUCCACAAUGGACGAAAGUCUGAUGGAGCAACGCCGCGUGAGUGAAGAAGGUUUUCGGAUCGUAAAACUCUGUUGUUGGAGAAGAAUGUAUCUGAUAGUAACUGAUCAGGUAGUGACGGUAUCCAACCAGAAAGCCACGGCUAACUACGUG